ACUGGCAGGAUUCACAUUCUCCACUGUAGGAUAAGGCACAUUUCAUGCACUCACACCAUUUCCUCUCCUUGCUUGCUUAACUCACAUGCCUCAAAUCUGAGAUCUGCACAGAGACAAGAGGCAAAAAAUCUAGAAUUGCCUAGCAGUAAUCUCCUUAAACCAUAUACUGGGCUAGGUGUUUUUAUAUGAGAGGAAGGGAACCUAAGGCAAGCUUUUAUAAAGCAAACAUUGCAAUCCUUUCCCUUUCCUCCUCUGUGGUGUGCAGUAUUCCUGUAAGAGAAAUGUUUCUAGGGGAACAUUUGGAAGGGCCUUGGAAAAGGAAAAGAAUUACAGACCAUGAGAAGAUGGGAAAAAAGGAGUGACAUCAUCUAGAUUGGAGCCCUGGUACAGCAGAAGUACUUUUGCAGUCAGUUGCUCCUCAUGACUUUGUAUUCUUGGGAAUUAAGGAAGAAAAGGGGGAAGCUAACUGCUUCAUGCAUGCUUGGGAGAGGAAGAAAAAAGUCUGAAAAUACUACAGCAUCUAGGAGAAAUUAUGGACCAGUUAUCUGGUCCAACAGUUUCAAGGCAUUGCUGAGAAGUCAGGCUCCUCUUCCUUCAUUUUAGCCUCUCAGACUUCAGGUGCUAAUCAAGGAAAUGCAGAAUUCUGAUAUUUGCCAAGGCCAAGGUAUGGCUCAACCAGGUGAUGUCAUCCUACACUUCUGAGGCUCCAUCCACCAUCCAGCUGUCUCUGAUACUGCAGAUGUCUCCCUUUGUGCUCCCUAAGCACCUAUAUGCAGCACAGAAGAGCUGUGAGACCUAGAAAGGAAGAGUGGGAGAAGAGUCCUGCAAAGCAGUAUUAUUUCCCUACCAUAUGGACCGCUUUCCACAAACUGUGCUGACAAGUUGCUCUGCAGGAAAGGAUUGUGCAACACUCGAGGACUACGAGUCUUUGGGAAGAGGCAGAAAACAUGCAUUCAGAACUCCAGAAAGGGAAGCAGUAAGAGAAAUUGCCUAAAUUAUGGAUAAUCUGCUGCAUAAAUCUGUCUUCUCCUGUUUUAUAAAGCUUCCUAUCCAUGCAAUUUGGAAACUUGUAUCGACAGUGAAAGCCAAGAGGAUUCAAGAAAAGAGUGCAGUUUUGCUCUGGAGGCUGCCCUGCAUGGUGUUGAAAAUAAGCUCUAUUUCUGAGGAUCACAUUCUUUUAUUUAGCAGGGUGGUCUUGCCUUGGAUUUUUCUCUGGAGAAUUCAAUUUGGAGAUGAGGUGAUUGCUUCAAUCUGCUAUCAGUUGAACAGCAUGGAUGGAAAGGAUGUGGAGAUGAAAUUUGCAACACAGGCUUUACAAAUGACUUGCCAUUUAAAGCAUCUAAAUGAGAAGCUCCAGUAUCAUCCCUCCCCUGUCCUGACUCCAGUCAUACAAGAACCCUGUAGAGGACUGUAAAAGCACAGUGAGUUUUUGACUUCCAGAUGAAAGACAACAAAAAUUGUGAUUAAAUCAAAUUAGUUUGUCUUACUAGAAACCAGUUUUUUUUCUUCUAUGAAAGCAAAUUUAUUCUCAGUGUAUUGAGGGCUGUUUAAGUUACACCUAAAGCAAAGCAAGCAAGCAGUGGAGAAGCCUGUUUUGACAGAAGGAUCAUAUAUUAACCCUUUUGGACCCAAACUGAACUGCUGUAGAAAGCUUUGUCCAGAUUAAAAUAUUAUCAAUGAUAUGGCUCAGGAAAAUACCUCUUGUUGUAAUGUAUAAAUAAAUUCUUAUGAGAUUAACAGAAUUUGUAACAGAUUUCAGUAGCAUGACUCAACAUUGACAGGCUUUAAGCAAAUUCAUCUUGAGAAGGAUACUAUAAAAUAAUACUUUAAAAUAAUCUGUAAACUCACUUCAGAGCAACAAGUAUUUCAAGUGCUGUUGUGGUCUGACAAGUGACUUCAACAGAAUUCUGUAUAAUAAAUCUCUAAUCUGUGAACCAUGCAGUUAAGGUAUCCUUGUUAUGUUUAAAAUACAUUUUACUGCUUUUGGUAGUGCUGUAGUACAUGGGAGACAUUGAGAUGAAGCUGAAUUGAUUGAGACUAAAGCAAACCAAGUUCAGGUUCCCUAUAAACAAGCUGCAGGUUAAGGCCUAUCUGUUUAAUGCCAUUAGAGUAAAUUCUCCCUUUUUUGCUUCCAACUGAUUGAUGGUACUUCCUGGACUGUAAUGAAUUUUCUACUUUUUAAUUUUUCCAAGCUUUCCAGAGGCCUUUAAUUCUUCUGAAGAAAUAUAAAGGCAGCUAAAAACUGGGGAUGAGGUGGUGGUGUUUGGGUGGCAGGAACUCUGUUUUAUUGAUGCAGAAUACCAAGGUAGUGCUGUGUGGCAUUAAAACCUGGUAACACAGCAAGAGAAGGAGAAUGCCUGGGGCAGGAGGCUGCUUAAUUUACCAUUGAACACUCAUGAAACUCUGCUCUCCUGAGUGUAAACCUAUUUCCAGAAGGUUUGCUUGCUUUUAUGAAGUAUUUUCAGGACUGUGAACUAGAGAGAAAAAAUGCUAACAAUCACCAGUGUUCAGUCUUUUUUUCCCCCAAACUCAUCAGUGUUGCAUAUCAUUUCAAGUACUGCUUUUUUAAAAAAGAGAUUCUAACUGUGUCAGUUAAAGACUGUUUGUGUAUGUUUUUCUAGUUUGUAUAUGUAUUUUCAUUGGAAUUCUUCUGUUUGGGCUAGACAUGUUUGCUCA